AACCCGAAUUGCUGUGAGUCGCUCUGGAUAAGAGCGUCUGCAAAAUGACAAAAA
rfam:Salmo salar isolate Sally breed double haploid chromosome ssa14, whole genome shotgun sequence.